GACAAAAGAGAAGCAGACAUGUCCAGUUAGCUCGUACAAGCCUUGGAAAAGAUAAUUCUGUGCUGUUCUCCCAGGAGCUUCUUCCACGCUCGAACCCUGCAAGAUGGAGGUCAACAAGCACUUUUGGAACAGCGAACACCCUGCACUGCUGACGGUUAGGAGUCGGAGUUUGCAAUCACAUACGUCCACCAGCACAUCUGCCGAGCUCAUCAGGUGUGGCGGGAUACAAGAGCGGAAGGCUGCCCGGAACUUUAGGCUGGUGGAUCACCACAAGAUACAAGCCCCUACUUAUCAACCUGGACGAGAGAUAUAGCUGUCGUCUCGGGACUUACCAUUGGCUUGCUUCUCCCAGGUUCAUACAGCCCUUCAAGAUCACCAGGAUCAUCAACCCUGCGGCGGUUGAACUCCAGCUGCCUCCAUCCAAGAAGUGACAUCUGGUGGUCCACAUCUCCAACCACAAGCCAGUUUCCACCAGUCCGCUCAUCCUCCUCUUUUGGUUGGUCACCCAGAGAACACUGUGAAGACCAUUUUGGACUCCAGAAGGUCAACCAGGGGAGUUCAGUAUCUACUUGACUUGGAAGGCUACGGUCCUAUUGAUUGCUCAUGGGUCUCCAGCUCCUGUGCCCUCAAUCCAUCUCUUCUGCGUGACUUCCACUCUCUGCAUCUUUGAGAAACCAGGAUCUGACUGAUGAACUUAGACAACUUGCACCUGCUGAAACUGAAUAAAAGGCUCGGAAAGUGAAUUGUGACAGAAAGGGUAGCAUGUCCAGGUGACUCUCUGACUGUCGGCUUGACUGAGUGCCAGCCAAGCGCCGCCACCAAGAGGAAGGAGGCGGAGGAUGCAGAUGAAACAGGAAGCGAUGACUUCUGGGCAACCAGUCUCAUGCGGUGGUCCUAUCUCUCAACAGCGUGCGUACAGGCCUGAAAACACCUGGGGAUCCACCGGGAGGAGCUGGACGAAGUGGCUGGGGAGAGGGGAGUCUGGGCUUCCCUGCUUAGGCUGCUGCCCCCGCGACCCGACUUCGGAAAAGCGGAAGAAGAUAUGGACAUGCUGAGGAGUAUGCAACAUUUUUUUUAGGAAAUAUUUUCUUGCGACCCAGCCUCACCCAGACUCUGCAUCCAGUAGCUCCCAGGUGAAGUGAGUUUGAAACCCCUGCUUUAAACCAUAACCAAACAUGCAUCACUAAAGCUAUUGUUUUGGCAAACUCUACACAAGGCCAAAGCCUUCACCCUCACAGAAGCCUCAUGUGUCCAAAUGUGAGUUUGGCUACCAUUUCCCCCAAAGGACACAACUGGAAAUACAGACACAAUUUCCCAACAGCUGAUGACCAUCAGUAAUCAGGAAGGUUUUCACCUGAAGCAAUCAACUCCACUCCUUUUAAGUCUUCAGCUCCAGCUCAAACUUCAGGCCAACAAACACUGCUCGAGGAGAUUUUACCAAAUACAGUAGUGACAACUGUUUACAGAGACCAGGGUGGCUGACGAGAGAGAUUCCCAUUGUCUGCAUGGAUGUCUUGCUGACACAUGGACAAACACCACCCAAAAUGUCAUCACAGUUGAUACAGGUAAGUGACUAACAAGCAGGCAUCAGUAGGGAAGGGUAUCAUGCACAUUAAAAUAAAUGCUGGUACCAAAUCGGUACUUUGAAAACGGA